rnacentral:rRNA from 1 species
GACGAGGGACCUAGCGUUGUUCGGAAUCAUUGGGCGUAAAGCGGGUGUAGGCGGACUUAUAAGUCAGGUGUGAAAUCCCAGGGCUCAACCCUGGAAGUGCACUUGAUACUGUAAGUCUUGAGUGUGGUAGAGGCUAUUAGAAUUCCUGGUGUAGUGGUGAAAUACGUAGAUAUCAGGAGGAAUACCGGAGCGAAGGCGGAUAGCUGGGCCAACACUGACGCUGAGACCCGAAAGCGUGGGGAUCAAACAGG